AAUAAUGGCGCCAAGCGGGAGGUUUGACAGUUACUACUACCUCGGCCUCCCCGCCCCCACACCGGCCAGGCCAGGAGCGUCCGGAAGAGAGGCCGCAGCUGGGGGUGUUGGCCUGAGCUUCGCCCUUCUGCUAUUCGGCUGACCAAGCUUGAGCCCCUGUUGACAGAAGCCGCAACGACCCCAUCCGCUAGACGCGUUCCGCACCUGCACCGUACACGACUGCAUGUGAGCCACAAUUAGCCAGUUUUGAUGCUUCUGUUUUUAUUGACGCAGAUGCUUAUGAUGAAACAGUGAGAUCGUCAAAGAAAUCAUUAUCAUUCCCAUGGUAUCUUUUCCGAAAUAAAAGCUCAGAGGAGAAAAGGGACUCGCUCAGACAGCAUUUAACAGGGAUGGCCAAAGACAAUUCUGCUGACGUCCAUUCGUCACCUCGCCUUUGUGUGUAUGUGUGCAGUUGCCUACUGAGUUCAGAAGAGGACACAAUCCCCUGGAGUUACAGGUUCCCGAAUAGCCCAGCUGCAAAAGAAGACUCUCAGAUAAAGGAGAAGGAAAAAAAAAAAAAAAAAAGCUUCAAAGAGUAAUCAGAUAAGCUAAGCUGCAACGAAGGCUCUGAGACCAGACCAGCUGCCUGUAAGAAACAGAAAUCAGCCAUGCUGCCUCCAAGAGGUUUAGACCAACUGAGAUAACUGGAAAGGACACUCUCUAAUCUGUUGAGCUGCCUUCAGGCUGUGCAGUGGGCUCCAGGUUCCCAGCUGUCGUUAGCUGACACCCUUGCUGAUGUGGGCUUUGGUGAGGCAGCUGUCUGAGAGUAAUUUCUGCUCCUAAUCAUAUUUAGGCAAAGGGGAAGAAAACAAGAGCAAUCUACAGAGGAAAAUUGACAAGGAACAAAAUCACAGGUGGCUUCACCCAUGUCAUCACCCGCUGGUGGCGACCAUGAAUCUAUAUACAAGACGUGUGUCCAAACUGUGAUCCUAAGUAGCCAGCACAUGAAACCUAGGUGUGAUUCCCUAGCACCUCAUAAGUUUGGCAAAAUAUUGCAUUCCUGAAAUUCCAGCACUCAGAAGGUGGAGGCAAGAGGAUCAGAAGUUCAAGGGCAUUCUCCACUACAAAGCAAAUUUGAGUAUCCUGGAAUAAAUGAAACCCUGUCUUAAAAAAAAAAAAAGAAAGAAAGAAAAAGAAAAGUCAGGAACAAGGAAUGUCCUUAAGGCUCUUUUGAUGUGCUUUUCCAUUUUCCAUUCUCCUGAGUGGCUGUGGCUGCCUGUCUUUGUCCCUGCUACCUAGAAGCCACCAUAGAAAACAACCACCAUCUGUAGCUGAAGCUUUAUAUUUGGAUGCAAGAUCACAGACCUGAACUGAGCUUGGUGGCUCACACUUGCAAUCCUAGUACUAGAGAAGUGGAGGCAGAAGAAUGACCAGUUGAAAACCAACCUUGUAAGCACAGAGAAAUCGUAUCUCCAAAGCAGUGGGGAUGGGGUGGAGGUUUCCCUAGGUAUGGUAGCCUAUACCUGUAACUCCAGAACUCUGCAGUCAAAUUUUCAUGCUCUAAGCUAUAUCCCCUAUCCCUGUACUUCUGAGGCUGGGGUAAGAAGACUUCUCUGAGUUUGUGGCCAGCUGAGGCUACAUGGUGAGCUUCUGGCAUGCCUGAGCUACAGUGUGAAACUUUUUCUCAAUAAAACAAAUACAUUUUAAAAUA